rnacentral:rRNA from 1 species
ACGGUCCUAAGGUAGCGAAAUUCCUUGUCGGGUAAGUUCCGACCUGCACGAAUGGCAUAAUAAUGGCCACACUGUCUCCUCCCGAGACUCAGUGAAAUUGAAAUGUUUGUGAUGAUGCAAUCUCCCCGCGGCUAGACGGAAAGACCCCAUGAACCUUAACUGUAGCUUUGCAUUGGACUUUGAACCGAUCUGUGUAGGAUAGGCGGGAGGCUUUGAAGAAUGGACGCCAGUUCAUUCGGAGCCGUCGUUGAAAUACCGCCCUGAUUUGUUUGAGGUUCUAACCUGGGCCAGUGAUCCUGGCUGGGGACCGUGCAUGGUGGGCAGUUUGACUGGGGCGGUCUCCUCCUAAAGGGUAACGGAGGAGUGCGAAGGUACGCUAAUCACGGUCGGAAAUCGUGAGGAUACUGCAAUGGGAAAAGCGUGCCUGACUGCGAGACAGACAAGUCGAGCAGAUGCGAAAGCAGGUCAUAGUGAUCCGGUGGCUUCUGUAUGGAAGGGCCAUCGCUCAACGGAUAAAAGGUACUCCGGGGAUAACAGGCUGAUACCGCCCAAGAGUUCAUAUCGACGGCGGUGUUUGGCACCUCGAUGUCGGCUCAUCACAUCCUGGGGCUGAAGUAGGUCCCAAGGGUAUGGCUGUUCGCCAUUUAAAGAGGUACGUGAGCUGGGUUUAAAACGUCGUGAGACAGUUUGGUCCCUAUCUACCGCGGGCGCUGGAAGAUUGACAGGGGCUGCUCCUAGUACGAGAGGACCGGAGUGGACGCACCUCUGGUGUAUCGGUUGUGACGCCAGUCGCAUUGCCGAGUAGCUAUGUGCGGAAGAGAUAACCGCUGAAAGCAUCUAAGCGGGAAACUUGCCUGAAGAUUAGUCUUCCCGGAGGCUUGACCUCCCUGAAGGGUCGUCCGAGACCAGGACGUUGAUAGGCCAGGUGUGGAAGCGCUGUGAGGCGUGAAGCUAACUGGUACUAAUUGCCCGUGCGGCUUGAUCCU